CACCUGGUGCUCCAGCCUCUCCCCAGGCAUGCAAUGAGUCAAUCCAGUUUGGUAAUGCACAGCCUGUGCCCUUCCCACACCAAACACUCUGACCAUACCCAAAUAAAGGAAACAGCUGAAAACCUUUGCAGGUCAGGAAAUUGUGUGCAUCAUCAUGUCCAGAGGGAGCAGAGAUGAGCCGCGCAGCGGCCUGACCCACUCCAGCAAUGGUCUCCAAGUUUCCAUCUCUGCAUAUGCACAAUAAUUUUUCUCCUGGAUCACAGGGGGCCUGGGUUGAACAUCACCUUUCACCCUCACGCAGACAUCGGAGUCCCCUGUAGAGGCUUGCCUGUGCUCUGAGCUCCUCCGUAGCCCGCCGGCACCACUUUUGCUCUGGGUCAGGCUCAGCCCGUCAGCGCAAGGCACAUGUGCCAUCCCUUCAGCAGUGCUCCACGUGCAAAGUCCUACCAAGUAGGAGCCGUGACCUCUGGGAUCAGGAGGACAUGCACAGCACCUGCGCAUGGCCUGAUUCUUCUGCAGGUCUUCACCAGCAAUGGCAACAAGGCCUCUUGCGAGCAUGGGCCUGAGGAAGAAACACAACCACCAUCAACAAGAUCGCUUCAGCCUUACGCAGCAUGACAAGGGAGCCAAGCAUUUCAGCUCCCUCGGGGCCAUCAGGCGCAGCAUAAAUAGUCGCCUCGUCUCCCAGCCACUCCAUUCCCUGCUGCAGCCUUGCUCUCCUCUGUGAAGCCGAGUCACCUCCGUCCUCCGCCAG